UGCAAGUCGAGCGGUAGAGAGAAGCUUGCUUCUCUUGAGAGCGGCGGACGGGUGAGUAAUGCCUAGGAAUCUGCCUAGUGGUGGGGGAUAACGUCCGGAAACGGACGCUAAUACCGCAUACGUCCUACGGGAGAAAGCGGGGGAUCUUCGGACCUCGCGCCAUUAGAUGAGCCUAGGUCGGAUUAGCUAGUUGGUGAGGUAAUGGCUCACCAAGGCGACGAUCCGUAACUGGUCUGAGAGGAUGAUCAGUCACACUGGAACUGAGACACGGUCCAGACUCCUACGGGAGGCAGCAGUGGGGAAUAUUGGACAAUGGGCGAAAGCCUGAUCCAGCCAUGCCGCGUGUGUGAAGAAGGUCUUCGGAUUGUAAAGCACUUUAAGUUGGGAGGAAGGGCAGUAACCUAAUACGUUAUUGUUUUGACGUUACCGACAGAAUAAGCACCGGCUAACUUCGUGCCAGCAGCCGCGGUAAUACGAAGGGUGCAAGCGUUAAUCGGAAUUACUGGGCGUAAAGCGCGCGUAGGUGGUUCAGUAAGUUGGAAGUGAAAUCCCCGGGCUCAACCUGGGAACUGCUUUCAAAACUGCUGAGCUAGAGUACGGUAGAGGGUGGUGGAAUUUCCUGUGUAGCGGUGAAAUGCGUAGAUAUAGGAAGGAACACCAGUGGCGAAGGCGACCACCUGGACUGAUACUGACACUGAGGUGCGAAGCGUGGGAGCA
rnacentral:rRNA from 1 species